rnacentral:misc_RNA from 1 species
CCGAGUUUACAACUCCCAAACCCCUGUGAACAUACCUUUUGUUGCUUCGGCGGGAUCGCCCCGGUGCCCUCGGGCCCGGAUCCAGGCGCCCGCCGGAGGACCUAAACUCUUGUCUUCAUGAGUAUCUUCUGAGUGACAUAAGCAAAUAAAUUA